CAGCAGCCGCGGGAAUACGUAGGGUGCAAGCGUUAAUCGGAAUUACUGGGCGUAAAGCGUGCGCAGGCGGUUUUGUAAGACAGAGGUGAAAUCCCCGGGCUCAACCUGGGAACUGCCUUUGUGACUGCAAGGCUAGAGUACGGCAGAGGGGGAUGGAAUUCCGCGUGUAGCAGUGAAAUGCGUAGAUAUGCGGAGGAACACCGAUGGCGAAGGCAAUCCCCUGGGCCUGUACUGACGCUCAUGCACGAAAGCGUGGGGAGCAAACAGGAUUAGAUACCCGAGUAGUCCCUGUCUCUUAUAC
rnacentral:rRNA from 1 species